CCACUUUCUCCAUCUGUUUAGCAAACAUCGGCGGCAAAUCCUGUUUUCCACCUGUAAAGUGGCGCACUCAGCAUGUCACUAGUGUUCAUUGGAGCAGCCAGUCCUCUUCCUUAUUUACUUCUUCCUUGAGGUAAGUGGUUUGGGGAGGAGCUUAUAGAAUGGGGAGGUUGCGAGUGGCAAACAGGCAUAACAAAUUAAAGCUGACAGCUGAGAGAACGUCUUGGUUGGCAGAGCAGGGAGCAGAGCAGGGUCAGUGCCUACUCAGGAAGGGAACGGAGCCUUAGGUCUGAUUCGUGGCCCAUGAUAAGCUCUGAGUCACUCUGUCGGCCUCGGUCCUGCGGGAGCUCUGGCAGCGGGCCGCCUUGUGUAUCCCUGGCAUACCCUGGAGGUUAACCUCAGAAUACCCUGGCACUGCAGGGCGCCAGCUGCCUUUCAGAACUCCAUACGAAAGGAAACUAACAGCAGUUAGCGUUCCAGAAACGUAUUUGGUGGCUGUUGGAACUUGAACAUCAACAUGGACUUGGGCAAACAUGCAGAGUCAAGGCCUGGGGUUCCUCCCUACUUCCGCCGCUGAACAAGACAGCUCCUGGCCUGAGGACUUGUGCGCCAGCCUUCCAUGUGGGAGACCCAGAUAAAGCUCAGAACUUUGGCCCAGCCCUGGCUGUUGCAGCCAUCUGGGGACAGCUACUUCCACAGCUAAACAAGACAGUUCCACCUGGGAAAGUUCAUUCAACAGUGUUGGCAGAAAGACUCCUCCUCCAACAUCGCCGACUCAGGACGGGUAUGCGGCCUGAGGAGUGGCCGUUGUCUUCGUGCCCUCCCUGGCCUUCCCCGGUGGGUUCCAGGUGACUCGUGCCCAGCACAAUAAAGGCCAUGGUCCGAGUUCCAGAUUCUAGGCAGGACUCCCCCUUCUCAGAUCAGCUUAAACCUCACUCUGCCUUCUACGCGCCAGCGGGCUGCCGAGCCCACACACAGGCCUCCCGUGUUGGGGAACGGACAUGGCUUUGUGCUUCCCUGAGAUGCCCCCAGUAGCCCCAGCGGGUUACGGAAAAGACAAACAGCACGGUGAGUUACACACCUUAGCGUGCACUGCAUAUCCUGGGCCUGCUUUCCUCUGAGGCCACAGGAGAACCAGACCCGGAUUAGCUGAGUCUCUGGUCAUUUGAGCUUUGGCCUUUGGCAGUGGAGGGCUGGGUUAGAAAACAAACAUGCAUGCAAACAAACAGAACAAAACCCUCAGCAACUUGAGAAGUCCCUGAGUUCUCUAUGCAGUGGGGAGUCAUGCCCAUCUUCCUGGCUGUUCCAGGGGAUUGUCCGGUAAGACACGACUGGGCGGAUGGGGGCCCUCGGCGGGGCCUGUCCUGCUCUGGGAUUCACCCUGGUCAGUGAACUGAAAAAGAGGAACACUUUGCUUUCAGAAGCUACUGCAGCUUUUAGUCCCUGGGAGGGGAGAGGUUGGAAGACCAUAGGAGAGCUUGGGGAGCCUCUCCCCGGAGAGCCGGGGGUGACCGACCAGUGUGGGUGCAGGGCUCCCCCGUGGACCCCGUAGGCAGAACUCGCUCACACUGGGAGGCCCGUCUGGGCUAAGUCCCAAUUCCAUUAAGCAAAUGUAAGGAAAUCAGAAUGUAGAACAAGAGGUCCAAGGUCAGGAAAUGACCUGUGCAAACCCCCAGGGGCCCUGGGACCAAGUGGAAAAAAGGGGAGAAGGAAGAACUGCUGGCAGACGAGGCAGGAAAAGAGAUGAGAACUGGGGACCUGUCCUUCCAAGUCAUCGGACCCCACGCAGACCUCCAACCAGGUCUGGGCCUGCUCUCCUAUCCAUUCCAGCCCACCCACCAACUGCAGUUUCACCCUGUGCCCAAGAGAGGGCGCAAGUGAGCACCACGGUGUAGAUGGGUGCAAAGGAGCAUGGGACAGAAGGGCGGGUCCCGUGAGUAGCCUGGGCCUGGAGGUCCGCUGCUUCGCCCUGAUCCUGCCUGGCCCCUGCCAGCAGCACUGUGCUCAGGCACUCGUGGGUUAUCUUACAGGAGGGAUCUACAUGGACUGUGACUGUUCAGCUUGAGAAGGAAAAGGUCGUCCUUGGUCAGGUUGUCCAGCGGGACAAUCCAGCUGUCCCCCAGCUCCCCGUUGAGGUUGACCACCUUCUUCUCCUGCAUC